rnacentral:rRNA from 1 species
UACGGGGGGGGGCAAGCGUUGUUCGGAAUUACUGGGCGUAAAGGGCGCGUAGGCGGAUGAUACAGCCAGAUGUGAAAUUCCCGGGCUUAACCUGGGGGCUGCAUUUGAGACGUGUUGUCUAGAGUGAGGAAGAGGGUUGUGGAAUUCCCAGUGUAGAGGUGAAAUUCGUAGAUAUUGGGAAGAACACCGGUGGCGAAGGCGGCAACCUGGUCCUUGACUGACGCUGAGGCGCGAAAGCGUGGGGAGCAAACAGG